rnacentral:tRNA from 1 species
GGUGGAACUGGCAGACACGCUAGACUUAGGAUCUAGUGCCGCAAGGUAUGAGGGUUCGACUCCCUCUUCUCGCACCA